rnacentral:lncRNA from 1 species
AGUUACAUUUUAUUCCUGUUAUUUUUUAUUUUCACAUGUUUCUUCACCUGCAGGUUCUGGAAGAAGCUUCGAGAGGAAGUGCCAGAGUUUUGUUGGGGAAAGCUUACUGUCCCCAAAGGGUGAGAUUAUAAUGAUAGCAGCAUGCUCCUGCAGAACAAUCAGAGAUGAAGGGAACAGACAACAUGGAAGAGUUAACAGGAAGAAGGAAAAGAGUUUAUCAGAAGAUUUGCAUGUGCAGCACCUGGCACAUCACAGACCCAAGUGCAGCUGUAAUAUUGCUAUGAAUACUACUGAUACUAAGGUGACAUGAGCU